ACGAACGCUGGUGGCGUGCUUAACACAUGCAAGUCGAACGGAAAGGCCCUGCUUUUGUGGGGUGCUCGCGUGGCGAACGGGUGAGUAACACGUGAGUAACCUGCCCUUGACUUUGGGAUAACUUCAGGAAACUGGGGCUAAUACCGGAUAGGAGCUCCUGCUGCAUGGUGGGGGUUGGAAAGUUUCGGCGGUUGGGGAUGGACUCGCGGCUUAUCAGCUUGUUGGUGGGGUAGUGGCUUACCAAGGCUUUGACGGGUAGCCGGCCUGAGAGGGUGACCGGCCACAUUGGGACUGAGAUACGGCCCAGACUCCUACGGGAGGCAGCAGUGGGGAAUAUUGCACAAUGGGCGGAAGCCUGAUGCAGCAACGCCGCGUGCGGGAUGACGGCCUUCGGGUUGUAAACCGCUUUCGCCUGUGACGAAGCGUGAGUGACGGUAAUGGGUAAAGAAGCACCGGCUAACUACGUG
rnacentral:rRNA from 1 species